GAGUUUGAUCAUGGCUCAGAUUGAACGCUGGCGGCAUGCCUUACACAUGCAAGUCGAACGGUAACAGGUUAAGCUGACGAGUGGCGAACGGGUGAGUAAUACAUCGGAACGUGCCCGAUCGUGGGGGAUAACGCAGCGAAAGCUGUGCUAAUACCGCAUACGAUCUACGGAUGAAAGCAGGGGAUCGCAAGACCUUGCGCGGACGGAGCGGCCGAUGGCAGAUUAGGUAGUUGGUGAGGUAAAGGCUCACCAAGCCUUCGAUCUGUAGCUGGUCUGAGAGGACGACCAGCCACACUGGGACUGAGACACGGCCCAGACUCCUACGGGAGGCAGCAGUGGGGAAUUUUGGACAAUGGGCGCAAGCCUGAUCCAGCCAUGCCGCGUGCAGGAUGAAGGCCUUCGGGUUGUAAACUGCUUUUGUACGGAACGAAAAGGUUCUCUCUAAUACAGGGGGCUCAUGACGGUACCGUAAGAAUAAGCACCGGCUAACUACGUGCCAGCAGCCGCGGUAAUACGUAGGGUGCAAGCGUUAAUCGGAAUUACUGGGCGUAAAGCGUGCGCAGGCGGUGAUGUAAGACAGAUGUGAAAUCCCCGGGCUCAACCUGGGAACUGCAUUUGUGACUGCAUCGCUGGAGUGCGGCAGAGGGGGAUGGAAUUCCGCGUGUAGCAGUGAAAUGCGUAGAUAUGCGGAGGAACACCGAUGGCGAAGGCAAUCCCCUGGGCCUGCACUGACGCUCAUGCACGAAAGCGUGGGGAGCAAACAGGAUUAGAUACCCU
rnacentral:rRNA from 1 species